CCGCCAUUGCCGGCCCGGCACAGCCGAGACCUCUGAGGGGCCGCUAUGGCCGCCCGUUCGCAGCCAAGACUCCUGAGGGGCCACCCCCUCACAGCCGAGACCCCUGAGGGGCCGCGGGGCCACCGUUGCCGGCCCGGCACAGCCGAGACCCCUGAGGGGCCGCGGGGCCACCACUGCCGGCCCUUCUCAGCCGAGACCCCUGAGGGGCCGCCACGGCCGCCCCCUCACAGUCCGCCCCCUCACAGCCGCCGCUCCCCGCUCGCUCUGGGGACACCCGGCCCAAGAUGGGGCCGCCGAGCCGCCCCCGCUCCGCUCCCUCCGGGCGCCCUUCCAGCCCUUCCCGGCGGGCUCGGCUCCCUCAGGGCGGCGCAGGAUCCCUCGUGUAAAACGCCUGAAUAAUCGUCCUCUCCCAUGGAGAGCUUGUUCCUCUGUAAUAGUCAAGCUGUUGGGAGUGUGGAGAGGCUGAGCAGUGAAUCCACCCGGACUGUCUCCCUUUGGCUCUUUAGGAGGAACUUUUUGGAACAGUUUAUUUGAUAUCUAUUUAUUUGACAAAGCCCUAAAAUAUUAUAUAUCCAGCGAGUCUCCUCCUCCACAGUUCAUUUAAGUAAAAUAAACCUUUUUAAGGAGAGGAAAUGUCUAAUUUUACUCCUCACUUGUGGCCAGUGUGGACUGUGCUGAUGGAUGAGAGGAGAGGGAGCAGGAAAAUGAAGGAAGAGAAGGAAUAAAACAUGGAAUAAGUGCUGAGGUUUUUCCCAGCAGACACACAGGGAAGGAGCUGAGCUGGGAAACGUGUUGUCAGCGUGACAUGAUCCAUCCAACAUUCCCAAAUAUUCCCAGGUACAAAAUCUUCCUCUUACACCUCACAUUUGGGCAUUGUUCUGUCCAAAGACUGGAGUUUUCUGGGGUGGAUGUUCCGUGAGGGCCUGAAAACCCCUCACAGGAAUGUGCUGGCUUCCUCUCCUGCUUCAAAUCUCUUCUCCAAACUCCAGCAUUCCCUGAUUAAUCUCCAGCCUGGGCUUACUCAGGGAAACCCAGAGCUUUGGAGCCCGUUGGAUUGUCAAACAAAAGCUCAAAUCAACAGCAAGUCCCAGACUCACCCAGGAAUUAACCCAAGGAGCCCCAGCAAAGGGAAGAACCUGCACGUGGGAGAAGAGAUUCCCACUUGGAUGACAGUUUAAUUCACAACUCGUGUGACAGGAGAGAUUCCAGCACUGAGGAGGUCGGUUUGGGUUAAAAGGACCCACUGGAAAGGAAAAAGAAAACAACCUGAAAUUGUGGUUUCUUGUCAUGG